rnacentral:rRNA from 1 species
AGGUGCAUGGGGGCACCUGAUCAGCAUGCCGCGUGUGUGAAGAAGGCCUGCGGGUUGUAAAGCACUUUCGGUAGGGACGAAAAGCUGAAGGCUAAUAUCCUUCAGUCUUGACUUAACCUAAAGAAGAAGCACCGGCUAACUCCGUGCCAGCAGCCGCGGUAAACGA